rnacentral:rRNA from 1 species
GGAAUAUUGCACAAUGGGCGAAAGCCUGAUCCAGCAACGCCGCGUGUGCGAUGAAGGCCUUCGGGUCGUAAAGCACUUUUCUGAGGGAAGAGAAAGGACGGUACCUCAGGAAUAAGUCUCGGCUAACUACGUGCCAGCAGCCGCGGUAACACGUAGGAGGCAAACGUUAUCCGGAUUUACUGGGCGUAAAGCGUGUGCAGGCGGUUCGGUAAGUUGGAUGUGAAAGCUCCUGGCUCAACUAGGAGAGGUCGUUCAAUACUGCCGAACUUGAGGACGGUAGAGGAAAGUGGAAUUCCCGGUGUAGUGGUGAAAUGCGUAGAUAUCGGGAGGAACACCAGUGGCGAAGGCGGCUUUCUGGGCCGUUCCUGACGCUAAGACGCGAAAGCGUGGGUAGCGAAC